CCUACGGGAGGCAGCAGUGAGGAAUAUUGGUCAAUGGCCGUAAGGCUGAACCAGCCAAGUCGCGUGAAGGAAGAAGGAUCUAUGGUUUGUAAACUUCUUUUAUAGGGGAAUAAAGUUAUCCACGUGGGGCAAUUUGCAUGUACCCUAUGAAUAAGCAUCGGCUAACUCCGUGCCAGCAGCCGCGGUAAUACGGAGGAUCCGACCGUUAUCCGGAUUUAUUGGGUUUAAAGGGUGCGUAGGUGGUUUUUUAAGUCAGCGGUGAAAGUUUGUGGCUCAAGCUGAAAAUUGCCGUUGAAACUGGAAGACUUGAGUGCGGUUGAGGUAGGCGGAAUGCGUGGUGUAGCGGUGAAAUGCAUAGAUAUCACGCAGAACUCCGAUUGCGAAGGCAGCUUACUAAGCCAUAACUGACACUGAAGCACGAAAGCGUGGGUAUCAAACAGGAUUAGAUACCCUUGUAGUC
rnacentral:rRNA from 1 species